rfam:Ovis aries breed Texel chromosome 5, whole genome shotgun sequence.
UCCCUGGUGGCUCAGCGGAUAAAGCGUCUGCCUGCAAUGCAGGAGACCCGGGUUUGAUCCCUGGGUUGGGAA